UAGGGAAUCUUCGGCAAUGGGGGCAACCCUGACCGAGCAACGCCGCGUGAGUGAAGAAGGUCUUCGGAUCGUAAAGCUCUGUUGUAAGAGAAGAACGUGUGUGAGAGUGGAAAGUUCACACAGUGACGGUAACUUACCAGAAAGGGACGGCUAACUACGUGCCAGCAGCCGCGGUAAUACGUAGGUCCCGAGCGUUGUCCGGAUUUAUUGGGCGUAAAGCGAGCGCAGGCGGUUUAAUAAGUCUGAAGUUAAAGGCAGUGGCUUAACCAUUGUUCGCUUUGGAAACUGUUAAACUUGAGUGCAGAAGGGGAGAGUGGAAUUCCAUGUGUAGCGGUGAAAUGCGUAGAUAUAUGGAGGAACACCGGUGGCGAAGGCGGCUCUCUGGUCUGUAACUGACGCUGAGGCUCGAAAGCGUGGGGAGCAAACAGG
rnacentral:rRNA from 1 species